CUUUCUUCUGAUUUGUAUAUCUUAUUUAAUUUAAUUUAAUUUUUAUCACUUAUUUAACUUGAAAGACUGGAAGUGCCUCUUAAAGAGCUUCGAAAGUAGUGAGGUGCUACUAAUAUUAUUAUGAACAUAGCUAUAUGUACAUACAUAUGUAUGUACAUAUGCAACCUUAUGUUUUUUUUUUUAUAAUUCUACGUUUUUUCUACAUCUGCCAUCUGAAAAAUUUCUUCCCCAACAAUGAUGUCAAUAAAUGUGAGUGAAACGACAAUGGAGUGUGCUGAUUAACCCUUUGAUGGCAUGGGGUUUAGAAAUCCCAUUGCAAGAAAAGGAGUUGCAGAAUUGUUUCUUAUUUCGGUUUUUAAAUAGUUUACUACUUGAAAUUAUAUAUGUUAUCUUAGGCUCUUAAUUCUAAAAUACAUUUGCAACUUUCUUGCUGCAAAAAAUGAAAUAUCAUAUCUUGCUUAGGGUUAAUAUAUGAACAAAAGUGUGUCUGCGCCCAACCUUCCGCGUCGACAAGCAAACAAGCACUGAACGCAGACCUUAUAUGAAUGCUUCAUGGCAUGAGUCUUCACACAACUUUUGGUGACUAGUUUUUAUAGUCGCUGAGAACGAGGCGUCAAACAAGACGGACGCACGGACUGACAUGGCUAUUGAUGCUGUUCAAGAAUAUAUAUAUACGUUAUGGAGUCUAACACGUUUCCUUCUGUGCAUUACAUAUUUCCAAUUUCGAGCACAAAUACAAUAUACCCUAUUUUCUCUUUGAGUACCGUGUAUAAAACGUCGGUUUGGUUCGAUGCUCAAACAAACAAUAUCAAUUUUGUUGAGUAGUGUUUUUCAUGGCAUAGCCAGGUACGGCUUCAGAUGAUCAAAUCACAGACCUGUUGAAAUUCCCUUAUUGUUAAAAAUAUCCUUAACAUACAUACAUCGGUUAAAAAUGAUAUCACGAACAUUUUACAUAUAACUUUUGGUGC
rnacentral:lncRNA from 1 species